UCCAUAGUAGUUGGUGGUAUCCGGUACGUUUGCCUCGACUGCAACUGUUAACCGGAGGGUUGCUGGUUCGAAUCCAGCCCGAGGAGCCA
rnacentral:tRNA from 1 species